rnacentral:rRNA from 1 species
GACGUAGGGCGCGAGCGUUGUCCGGAUUUAUUGGGCGUAAAGAGCUCGUAGGCGGCUUGUUGCGUCGGCUGUGAAAACCCGCGGCUUAACUGUGGGCUUGCAGCUGAUACGGGCAGGCUAGAAUUCGGUAGGGGAGACUGGAAUUCCUGGUGUAGCGGUGAAAUGCGCAGAUAUCAGGAGGAACACCGGUGGCGAAGGCGGGUCUCUGGGCCGAUAUUGACGCUGAGGAGCGAAAGCGUGGGGAGCGAACAGG